GAUGAAGAACGUAGCGAAAUGCGAUACGUAAUGUGAAUUGCAGAAUUCAGUGAAUCAUCGAAUCUUUGAACGCAUAUUGCGCUCUCUGGUAUUCCGGAGAGCAUGCUUGUUUGAGUAUCAGUAAACACUUCAACUUCCAUAUCUUUUUUGAAAUGGGAGUUGGACUUGAGUGAUCCCAACGCUUUUCCUCACCGAAAAGUGGCGGGUUACUUGAAAUGCAGGUGCAGCUGGACUUUUCUCUGAGCUAUAAGCAUAUCUAUUUAGUCUGCCUAAAAAACAGAUUAUUACCUUUGCUGCAGCUAACAUAAAGGAGAUUAGUUCUUGUGCUGACUGAUGCAGGAUUCACAAAGACAGGCUUCGGCCGACUUUGUAAACUCGAUCUCAAAUCAAGUAAGACUACCCGCUGAACUUAAGCAUAUCAAUAAGCGGAGGA
rnacentral:misc_RNA from 1 species